GACGAACGCUGGCGGCGUGCUUAACACAUGCAAGUCGAGCGGUAAGGCCCUUUCGGGGUACGACGAGCGGCGAACGGGUGAGUAACACGUGGGUGACCUGCCCUCAGCUCUGGGAUAAGCCUGGGAAACCGGGUCUAAUACUGGAUAUGACUCCAUGACGCAUGUUGUGGGGUGGAAAGCCUUGUGCGGCUGAGGAUGGGCCCGCGGCCUAUCAGCUUGUUGGUGGGGUGANGGCCUACCAAGGCGACGACGGGUAGCCGGCCUGAGAGGGCGACCGGCCACACUGGGACUGAGACACGGCCCAGACUCCUACGGGAGGCAGCAGUGGGGAAUCUUGCGCAAUGGGCGAAAGCCUGACGCAGCGACGCCGCGUGAGGGAUGACGGCCUGG
rnacentral:rRNA from 1 species